UACGUAGGGGGCUAGCGUUGUCCGGAAUCAUUGGGCGUAAAGCGCGUGUAGGCGGUCCGAUAAGUUCCGCUGUGAAAGUCGAGGGCUCAACCCUCGAAUGCCGGUGGAUACUGUCGGGCUUGAGUACGGAAGAGGCGAGUGGAAUUCCUGGUGUAGCGGUGAAAUGCGCAGAUAUCAGGAGGAACACCAAUUGCGAAGGCAGCUCGCUGGGACGUUACUGACGCUGGAGACGCGAAAGCGUGGGGAGCAAACAGG
rnacentral:rRNA from 1 species